AAAGGCCAACCAGACCAAUAUUGCAUGGUUCAGGAUCUCCGUGCUGUCAAUGAGGUUACUAAACGGGACACAGCUGUCGUUCCAAAUCCGCAUACAUUGUUGUCACAAGUGCCUUCAACUGCUAAAUUCUUCACAGUGGUUGAUCUUGCAAACGCCUUCUUCGGUGUGCCUUUGGAUCCCUCAUGUCAGUAUUUAUUCGCUUUCACACAUG